rnacentral:misc_RNA from 1 species
GUGAGUCAUCGAAUCUUUGAACGCACAUUGCGCCCCUUGGUAUUCCAUGGGGCAUGCCUGUUCGAGCGUCAUCUACACCCUCAAGCUCUGCUUGGUGUUGGGCGUCUGUCCCGCCUCUGUGCGUGGACUCGCCCCAAAUUCAUUGGCAGCGGUCCUUGCCUCCUCUCGCGCAGCACAUUGCGUUUCUUGAGGUGCGCGGCCCGCGUCCACGAAGCAACAUUACCGUCUUUGACCUCGGAUCAGGUAGGGAUACCCGCUGAACUUAAGCAUAUCAAUAAGCGGAGGA